GACGAACGCUGGCGGCGUGCUUAACACAUGCAAGUCGAACGGAAAGGCCCUGCUUGCAGGGUACUCGAGUGGCGAACGGGUGAGUAACACGUGGGUGAUCUGCCCUGCACUUCGGGAUAAGCUUGGGAAACUGGGUCUAAUACCGGAUAGGAACCAUCUUUAGUGUGGUGGUUGGAAAGUUUUUUCGGUGUAGGAUGAGCUCGCGGCCUAUCAGCUUGUUGGUGGGGUAAUGGCCUACCAAGGCGGCGACGGGUAGCCGGCCUGAGAGGGUGUACGGCCACAUUGGGACUGAGAUACGGCCCAGACUCCUACGGGAGGCAGCAGGGGGGAAUAUUGCACAAUGGGCGCAAGCCUGAUGCAGCGACGCCGCGUGGGGGAUGAAGGCCUUCGGGUUGUAAACUCCUUUCGCUAGGGACGAAGCGUUGUUGUGACGGUACCUAGAGAAGAAGCACCGGCUAACUACGUG
rnacentral:rRNA from 1 species